rnacentral:rRNA from 1 species
GAUGAACGCUGGCGGCGUGCCUAAUACAUGCAAGUCGAGCGAACGGACGAGAAGCUUGCUUCUCUGAUGUUAGCGGCGGACGGGUGAGUAACACGUGGAUAACCUACCUAUAAGACUGGGAUAACUUCGGGAAACCGGAGCUAAUACCGGAUAAUAUUUUGAACCGCAUGGUUCAAAAGUGAAAGACGGUCUUGCUGUCACUUAUAGAUGGAUCCGCGCUGCAUUAGCUAGUUGGUAAGGUAACGGCUUACCAAGGCAACGAUGCAUAGCCGACCUGAGAGGGUGAUCGGCCACACUGGAAUUGAGACACGGUCCAGACUCCUACGGGAGGCAGCAGUAGGGAAUCUUCCGCAAUGGGCGAAAGCCUGACGGAGCAACGCCGCGUGAGUGAUGAAGGUCUUCGGAUCGUAAAACUCUGUUAUUAGGGAAGAACAUAUGUGUAAGUAACUGUGCACAUCUUGACGGUACCUAAUCAGAAAGCCACGGCUAACUCCGUG